UAAGGCUGGCAGGCUGGGGUGAUGACAACAAUGACUUUGGCUCCCUCUCCCCCUCCAUGCAGGUGGCCAGGAAGCUGCAAGGAGGUCCUCUGGGCAGUUGGUGAGGAAGCCCAGGCCUGCACCCCUAGUCCUGCUUAGACUUUCUGAAUCCCUACGAACACCAAAGCCUACGCUGUGCUCCCCAUGGACUAGUGACACGCUUUAUGCCUACCUGUUCCCUCCAAUCCAUCGAGGGAUCAUCAUUUAAACUAUCCACAUUUGCUGGUCCAAUAACAAUAAAAACAACUUCUGAGAUACAUUGUUAAAAGUUUCUCCCCUUCUAACCAAAAAGGAAAAGUUAAACAGCCUUUAUUUAGCAUCACUUGGAAAUGAGCCUGUGGAGUGCGAGGGGACAAUCUACUGGCCUCCACCUUUACUCUCAUCAACGCACCCAUGAAAGCAAGAGACAGGAAUGCAUUCAAUUUGGCAAAGAAUUUUCAAAAUGCAAAAGGAAGAGCAGAGCCUUGAGUCUGAAUGCAGACUUAGUGUUUGGCUACAACAUGGAAUAGAAAGAAGAUAAAUACCCUCCAGUUCCAUCCACAUUGAAGCAAAUGAGAGAAACAGAGGCGAGAUUCUUCUUGGGCUAAGGAGGAGAGUGGCUGGCCCCCCAGAUGGAUGCCAUCUCUUUAGGAACAUGGAGGAGGAAUGUUCUGCUGGGGCCUCAGGACAUUAAGAGCACCUGGAGCCCAGUGGCACCCCUGUGGACAAAAAAGAGGACUUGUGACCUGGGUCAGGGACAGGAUGGCAGUCAACGAUGGAGAACUCUAAGAUGGAACUGACAAGUGAAGCAUUGGGGGUGAUGGAGGAAAGAGGAUUCAGGAGUCUCCAGAUGGGGCAAUGAGAACAGAGGGACUCAACAACCUUUACUUGGGCACCUGCACUGAACCAAGAGAAAUGUAUGAAGGAGCAUAAGCCAGUAAGAAACUGCUUCUAGAACUAGAACGAGUUAGUCCUGCUACAAUCGCAGUGAGGCACAGAAGGCAUCGCUAACAGUGAAGGCCACCAGGUUCCCAGAUUUGUGCUAAGUGAUCCUUAUGUCUUCAUUUAUUUCUCAAGACAGCCCCGUGGGGCCAACCCAGUGCUCAUCUCCAUGAAGAAACAAAAACACGGUGAACUCACCACCAUCACUAUGUCACUGAGACCUAAGUUGGCAGACAGAAGUUUUCCCCUCCACCGGAAGCCAGAGCUGGGCAUGCAUGGAUCCAAGUAGCUGGCACUGGGUUGUUUUCAAGCAAGAGAAGUGAAAUUGUAAUUUUGUGGAGCCUUCCCUAAAAUUGAAAAAGAAGGAAGCAAAAUAUUUCUUCCUGCCAAAUAAGAGUCUCACAGGUCUCUGAACUUAAAAAAAAAAAAAAAAAGACUGAGCAAGACUAUAACAAAUAUAAUCUGUGAAAGGCCCUGGGCCUGGAGAUUUCCAAACAACAUGGAGGCUGGCUCCCACCAUCAAUGGACAGAGAGCCAUGGAAAGAUGAGAAGACAUGGCCAUGACAAGAAACAUGGACAUCACCAGAAGAUGUGACUCCAUGAUGGGCAGGUCGAUUCCACAUACCUUUCCCUCCUUCCCUACUUCCUCUUCUCUCCCUCACAUCAAGUGGGAGAUUCCUGGAACAUUACUCCACCCUCCCAGAGGACAGGAUGGCAGCUGCCCUGCAGCUGACCGAAUGCCAACCUGGGCUUGGGUCCCACCUGGUUUUGUCCAGUCUGUGAGUUAAAAUCUCUUACCAAAGCAACACAGAAAUGCAAUGUUUGUUUCAAAAAGUUCAGCAGAAUAUUGAGAGAAAACUAAUGAAUUCAUCAAAUUUAUAGUGAAGUCUCGAUACAUUUCAAUCCCCUCGUUCCUUGUUAGACUAACCACCUUAUUUGUGAGUCUAGUUAGGCUGGAAUUCUAGGGGGUUGCUGUUAAUGUAUGCCACAUCUGGUUUGCUCCAGGCUGUGGGGAGCAGGUGGGCACAGGCUACCAGUGGGGCACUGCUCGUGCUUGUUACUGUCAUUAAUAUCGUCUCUUGUCUGUGGUUUCCUCUUUAUCCCAGCACCGCUCUCCAGGUAUGGCUCCCAUUCCAACAACCCCCAACCUCCACUCUGACCCUGCCUUGGGCCCAGCAGGCUCAGCUGGUGUUGCUUUUGGAGCCAAUGGGAACCUGAAAAGCAGGGUUGCUGAGAUGCUGUCUGAAGCCAAGGUGGGAAGAUGGCAAAGUAUGAUUCAGUGCCCUCAAGGACAGAUCCACUGACACAUUCAAUAUACGAUGCCAGCCUACACGCCUUUUCUUUAGCAGAACCCCCAAUCAUGGAUGUCCUUCCCUGCUCUGUAAUUCCUCAACACCCAGUGCAAUAAAUACAACCAAACAUAGCCCAAAUGGCUAAAAGAGUAUUCAUCUUUAAAUUCUAUAACUAUUUUCUAAUCCACUAUUUUUAGUAUUAGAGAGUAAAAAUAAUGAUUUCUUCCUACACGAUUAAAACUUUUUUUGGAGGGGGUAAGGGAGAGAAUUUGGGAGUCUACGUACAGAAGAAAUACAAUUUAAAAACAUUUUCCUGCUAAAAAUCCUUUUAGAUUCUUAAGAUUUGCGGUAUUGAGGAGAUCCAUUUCAUUUCUCAUGUAUUCUCUUCUUGAAAGCAUUUUCUUCUGAACUGUUUGGCUAGGCAUAAGAUGAAUGCCUGACCAGUCAGAAUAAAGUUAGGUGGAUUUUAUUUCCUCUUUUCUUUGAGGUCUUUAAUCAGAGGUCCUGAAAUUUGGAUCAACUGGAAAUUUCAGUCACUUUUGCCUUUUCCCCACAUGGAGUAUUUCCAAAGGGCGAAUCAUUAAGGCUUGUUUAAUAAAAUAAUUAUCAGCUCUUCGAUUUAUUUACAAGUCCCCUUCCAAGCAAUUCUUAUCUGCCAGACCCAGCCGCCAAAAUUCCCCAACAGGUGUCUGAAGCUAAUUAACGAAGAACUCAUAGCUCCGCAGGAAAGGAAGGCAGCAUUCAUGAGAUUAGGCUCUUGGGUUUGGGGGUUCUAACAGACACCUAAUCUGAAGAUACCAAGUUUUGGCUAAAGCACACAGCUUUUCUGCUGCCUAGAGUUUGGCUUGUGAAAUCAAGUUAUUAAAGAGAGCCAGCAAAGAGUGCUCUGAUAAAUCACCUCGUCUGGGAAACCAGGCUUCUUUUUAAAAUACUAAUUGAAAUUGCAUGUGUUUUAAUUAAAACAACAUCUGCCAGGGUCUGAAGAAACACAUUUUGAAAAGUAGACAAGGUAUGUCUCUAAAAUGUCCUCAAGCCUACUUAAUAAAGUGAUCCUUACACAUUCCCAGGAAUGAAAAAAACACAUGGCCUCCCAGUUGCACUGAAGUCUCCAGAGCUUCUGGUGUUUCUCUGGACAAAGGUGGGAUUCCCCAAGGUCAAGAACACGGGCAAAGGAGAUACCUUCAGUGCUGUGAAAGGGCUGUCCUCCAGCACAGGAGGCCUAUAUUUCAGAAUGUUGUCCCCUAUGAAAGCCAUCUACAGGAGAUGAGAAACUGAAACACUCACAUAUUUUAAUUUUUUUUUAAGAUAGAGAGGGGAGGGGAGGAGCAAAAGGGGAAGGAGAGAGAGAAUCUUCAACAGACCCCAAGCUCAGUGUGGAGCCUGACUUUGCAACCCUGAGAUCAUGACCUGAGCUGAAAUCAAGAGUCGGAUGCUUAACCCACGGAACCACCUGGGUGCCUCCUUGCCCCCGACUUUACCUGAUGAGUGGGCCAUAUAGCUUUAGAGGCCUCUGUUCUCCGGUUUUGCUAGGAAGCACUGUGCGUGCAAAGUGAUAUUUUCAGUACAUAGGGGAUGAUGACCAAUAUGUGUUUCAAUCCUGGGCCAAAAGAAUUCAGACAAACUUUGAGAAAUGACUUCCUGAGUAAUAUUUGGAAUGCUUCUUCUUGGAGAUGGAGACCUUGCUUAGGUAUCUCUUUAUUUGCCUGAGAACAUGGUGUCAUGAUUAGAGAAUUGAAUAAAAAUGUAACCCAAAGUUUGGAUCAAGAUCAAUACUGGCAGGUCUACAAUUCCGUGGAUAGUCAUUUCAAGAAAUUCAACUGCGAGAUCACUAAAUAAAAGAAAAUGUUUACAAAGCUAUCCAACAUUCAGGACAGCAAAGAUAUAAUGAAGAUAUUUCCCCCCUUUCCCUCUAGUUCUCCAAAAGAAAAUAUACAUGGAUCCCUAGGUAACCAUCCAGCUUGGAGGAGGUCAUUCUAUCGACAGAAUUGAUGAUCUUCUUCUUUAUUCAGCCUUUAUUUUCACUUAAAAGGAAGUUUUUAUGUUGUCCUUUAAAUAUAACCAGCAACCACUGUCCAUAAACAGUCUUUACAGUGGUCAGAUAAAAUCUCUCGCCCAAAUAUUUAAAACCUUGUGGCAAGAAGGAAAAAAAAGCUAGGAAGGGAAUGCCCCCAACCCCUUUCCCUGAAUGAAUGAAAAGGAUAAUCAGAAAACCCCAAAAGGGGAGAGAAACAGCAAUGAAUGGAUUUACUGCUUAACUAAUAAUGAACUCCCAGGCAAGAAACUACCCUUAUUUUAUUCACAAUUUCAUCAGUGUGGGAAAGUGUGCGAUGUGCUCCAUUAGGGUACACCUGGACAUUGGGGCUCCUUUCUCCACCUCUCCUGGUGGUUAGAGCCAGCAGAGUUCUUUCAGGAAAUGGCCCCCUCCUGAGCUCAGAGAGAGUCAAAUUUUGCCUGGUGCUCCUUUGGAACUUGGAACCAAUUGACAGAGUGUUGCUUAGAUGGAAGCUCAGCUAGCUGAUGCGGUGAGUAGAAGGUUGGUUGAAUGAGCGGAAUGUGUGGGGCCAUCAGUCACAGCAACAUUCUUGUGGAUCAUUCUGGAUGUGGUGACCCAACCAUCCAAAUGAUAAUAGAGGAAAAGAGUCAAGCAAAGCAGAGAGGAUGAGGGGAAGAUGCAGAGCAUACAUAUGAAAACCUAACAGACAUUGCAAACAUAGGAUUACACGAUGGAAAUCUCAGACAAAUUGUCUCUUAUCAGCCACCUACGAGCUACCUCUACUCUGAGUUCAAGAAGUAGCCUUCAUUGGGAAGGCCACACCAAGUUGAGCUUUGAAUGGAGCAACAGAAUUUUAUUGGAAGCCCUGGUUCUGUCCCGUCUGAAACGACUAUGUGAGGAAAGAAAAAGUGGAUGUGGAGAAGGAAACCUUUGGAGUUAAUGGCCUAGUUUAAAUAUACAAAAUCCACGAAGAACUUUCAAGUUAAAUUCAAACUAAGUAUAAAUAUCCAAUUGUGAGGGUUUUUUUUUUUCAUGCCUUAUAAUACACUGUGAGCUUAAGAAAUGAUUGCAUUAAUUAGACGCAGAUUUGAAGUCUGGUUGAAGUCCCCAUAAAUAAAUAAAUGGAUG